rnacentral:RNase_P_RNA from 1 species
GGAGGCGAGUGAGGGCCGCGGCGCUCCUUCGGGGGUGUCGAGGAAAGUCCGAGCUCCGCAGGGCAGGGUGCCGGCUAACGGCCGGGGGUCGCGAGGCCACGGAAAGUGCCACAGAAAACAAACCGCCGAUGGCUCCCGCCGGGAGCACAGGCAAGGGUGAAACGGUCGCGGUAAGAGCGCACCGCCCCGGCGGCAACGUCGGGGGCAGGGCAAACCCCACCCGGAGCAAGGCCGAACAGGGACGAGGGGCUGCCCGCCCCGCGAACGGCUCCUGGCCGUUCACAGUUCCGGGUAGGCUGCACGAGGCCGGCGGCGACGUCGGUCCCAGAGAAAUGGCUCUCCACCCGCGCGAGCGGGUGACAGAACUCGGCUUAUUCGCCUCCCCCU